UUUUCCAUAUGUGCCUGAUGCGAGUAUUUCUUUCGAGAAAUACUCACUUUUGUACUUCGUAAUUUGGAAAGUGGAUAUUUCGUUUAUUUUCUCCGUGGAAAUCCGAAUAGUUUGGGAUUAAGAUACUUUCCUUAUUUCCUCUAAUAUGUUGCGAAUUUGUGGAUUAAAGAAGCAAUAUAAUACCCGUAUUUGGGGAUUAUUCAUGUACAAAGAAAGGAGUUGUUUUUCCUCUAAGGUCACCCAACAUCCAAUUUUGAAAGGAAACGUAUGGGUACGCUAAUGAUGGCGAAUCUUUUAUAACACCCAACAACAUCAAUGAGAUUGAAUGCUGCAGAUUUUUGGUUUAUACUCACCUUUUUUCCGAAGAUUUGGGACAGAGCAAGGAUUGUUGACGUUUGUUUGAAUUAGUAAUUUCAACCUUUAUGGGUAUCAAGUGGUAUGUAGAGAACCAUUCCGAUUCAUAAUUCCUGUUUCUAAUCAAGAAUAUCCCGGAACCAAGUGGAUUUUGCCGGUGAAUUAUACUUAAGUAGCUUUCAGUGAAAGUUUUCAAGAGAUAUUUUGACCUCAAUAUCAGUCGACAGUUAUUUUUUUGUAGUUUGAAACUCGUAUAAUCAUUAGAGAUUCCUGUCGAUCGUAUGAACUCAGACAUUUUUUUGUUUUCCCUCUUUAGUCGUAAGAAAACGACAAAUUUUCUUAUUAUUGUUUUUUUUUUGUUAUAAAUGAGUCUGUGAACAUACAAAAUUUGGACAUUGAUAUUGAUUUUGUUUUGUACAUGAAGUUUUGUGCGCUGAUCUUGAUCAAGUGAGGUACUCCAUUUUUGUUUUUGUUUUUUUUUUAUUUUUUUUUAAAUAUUAUCCACAGCUAGUGCAAAAUAGUGGCACAGAAUUGUGAACGAUAUUUACACUGUGGCAAUAUUGUAGAUAUACUUGAAGAUUUUUAUUUUAUCUCUUUUUUUUUUGUUCAGAAUACAUAUUUCUUCGGGUAUUUACGUAUUUGGCAUAGAGAUAUAUAUAUUUUUUUAAUCAAAUACGUUGGCGCCCAUUUUUUUUUCGAAAGAGAGAAACGAAAAAAACCAUCGUGAACUCACGCCGUCGUGACAGUUGACCGAGGAAAUAUUAACAUUUUUGAAAUACGCGGAAGCAAAGUUCUGAUAUCUGUUGAAUAGAUGUUUUCGUUUUCAGUGAUGAAAUUACUUGAAAUUAUCACAGAUUGAUUGAAAUACAAAUCUGUGCUCAUUCCUUGUGUUUCAAGUUUGUGACUUGUAUCCAAAAGAACUAGAAACUGAUGAGAGGAUGAAGAUUCAAUUAAAUCAGAAAAAUUAAAACAUUUCGAAUAAAAUGGUGUUUUAGAAACUUUUGGUUACUGUGUUGAAAUUAACAUUUUCAUUGCAUGAAAAAUAAGUAAUUUCAUUAUUUUAUUUUUUCCCUUUAACUUGGUUGUACCUAGAGCGACGUUACAACUGUCAAACCGCAAUCAAAGUUUUGUGAAACCCGCGGCAACCUUUUAUGUAACC